rnacentral:rRNA from 1 species
AUGAACGCUAGCGACAGGCCUAACACAUGCAAGUCAGGGGCAGCACAAGAGCAAUCUGAGGUGGCGACCGGCGCACGGGUGAGUAACACGUAUGCAACCUGCCUGUAAGCGGGGAAUAACCCGUUGAAAGACGGACUAAUACCGCAUAAUACUAAAUUACUGCAUGGUAAUUUAUUUAAACAUUUAUGGCUUACAGAUGGGCAUGCGCAUGAUUAGCUAGUUGGAGAGGUAACGGCUCCCCAAGGCAACGAUCAUUAGGGGUUCUGAGAGGAAGGUCCCCCACACUGGUACUGAGACACGGACCAGACUCCUACGGGAGGCAGCAGUGAGGAAUAUUGGUCAAUGGACGAGAGUCUGAACCAGCCAAGUCGCGUGCAGGAAGAAUGUCCUUAAUGGAUUGUAAACUGCUUUUGCAGGGGAAUAAAGUGCAUCACGUGUGAUGUUUUGUAUGUACUCUGCGAAUAAGGAUCGGCUAACUCCGUGCCAGCAGCCGC